UACGUAGGGUGCGAGCGUUGUCCGGAAUUAUUGGGCGUAAAGGGCUCGUAGGCGGUUUGUCGCGUCGGGAGUGAAAACUCAGGGCUCAACCCUGAGCGUGCUUCCGAUACGGGCGGACUAGAGGUAUGCAGGGGAGAACGGAAUUCCUGGUGUAGCGGUGGAAUGCGCAGAUAUCAGGAGGAACACCGGUGGCGAAGGCGGUUCUCUGGGCAUUACCUGACGCUGAGGAGCGAAAGCAUGGGGAGCGAACAGG
rnacentral:rRNA from 1 species